AUUGAACGCUGGCGGCAUGCCUUACACAUGCAAGUCGAACGGCAGCACGGGAGCUUGCUCCUGGUGGCGAGUAGCGAACGGGUGAGUAAUACAUCGGAACGUACCCAGUAGUGGGGGAUAACGCACCGAAAGGUGCGCUAAUACCGCAUACGACCUAAGGGUGAAAGCGGGGGACCGUAAGGCCUCGCGCUAUUGGAGCGGCCGGUGUCUGAUUAGCUAGUUGGCGGGGUAAAGGCCCACCAAGGCGACGAUCAGUAGCUGGUCUGAGAGGACGAUCAGCCACACUGGGACUGAGACACGGCCCAGACUCCUACGGGAGGCAGCAGUGGGGAAUUUUGGACAAUGGGGGCAACCCUGAUCCAGCAAUGCCGCGUGUGCGAAGAAGGCCUUCGGGUUGUAAAGCACUUUUGUCAGGGAAGAAAUCUUUUGGGCUAAUACCCCGGAAGGAUGACGGUACCUGAAGAAUAAGCACCGGCUAACUACGUGCCAGCAGCCGCGGUAA
rnacentral:rRNA from 1 species